rnacentral:lncRNA from 1 species
UAAACUCCAACAAAGUGUUCAUAAGGAAAGUACAUAAAGGAAUUGUUUAGCAUAUAUGGCUAACACAAAAGAAUGUGGCACUUGACUUUAAUAGAGUAAGCGGAUUGUGACAACAAAUUCAAGAGACAUGGAUGAGCUUAAAACCUUCCUGAAUAUGGUGUAGAGCAAAGGAUGACUAAGAUUGAGUUGAUUCUAUUACCAAGGAGUUAAAGAGAUGUUCAACUCUGGUAUCUAAUUGAUAGCCGUCUAAGAAGAUGGGCUAAAGCAGUAAGUGGGGGAGCGAUCUGAAAUGUGAUUAACAAGAUGACAUAGAAGUGGCAUAACUAAGCAGUAUGAAGUGUUCUCUAUGAAGAAAGCCAUAUUAUUCUACAAAUUGCUUGGGCAAAAAUGCUUCGAAGGUCUUGAAGGACUUGGUGAGUAAGGGAGGAGGGAACAUAAGGUAUAAAUCAUAGAGUUGUCAACUCUAGGUUGUUUGUACUUUCUUGUUCCUCCUCGUCUAAGGUAGUAUUGUUCGCGUGAAGGGAUCAAGCAUGAUGGAAAUAUUCUGCGAGUUGUGUGUCAAAUAAGGGACAUGGGACGGACGAGGAGAUCUUUAAAGUCUCAUGGAGGA